ensembl:lncRNA
AGAGCAUACAUGGCACAGCAGCAGCAGCCUCAUCCUGCUGCCCUCUCUGGCAGCACCUUCACCUCAAUCAGGGCAUAACAACCAACAGGUGCUUCAAGUUUUGCUCACUGGGGCUGAGGAUCUCCUGGGAUAGCCCUGGGACAGACCUGGGCAGAAUGUCCCUCCCUGAGUCUUUAAUUUUGGUUUACCAGCUACUUUUGUGCUUCUGCUCUCCUCUGAGCUUGUGGAAAUGGCUUUUUUGUGGGUCAUUGCUCCUGUGAUGGGCUUGGAAGAAGAUGGUUGAGAGUAUUCCACUUGCUAUUGUAUCUCUGUUCUUCUUUUUAAGCGUGCAGAUGAGCUUUUAGCACAUAAAAUCUUCUAUCGCAUUUAUCUGUGGCUUUUGGAAUUUUUACCAUGCCACUGUGGGAGCUUAUGACAGAAGCACAUAAAAGGAAAAGUACUAAAAUCUCCUUUGCUGUAUCCAUGCAAGAUCCUGCACCCUACUGCAAACUGUCAAGGUUGUUUCAACUAACACUGCUCAAUGAAAGAGUCUCAGAGUAACCUAAGUGCAAGCUGAUGUCACAGUUGCUAAGAAAUUCACCCCAACGUCUCUUCUCAAGGGGAACUGAGAGCUGGGGUGGCAGGUCUGGGCUGAAGUACUGUGCAGCAGGCAGCUGCUCGUUAUCUGUCCUCUUGCAAAGAAAAUGCAAGAGAUGCGGUACCAGAUGGUAUGCAUAGCAAAAUAUGUUUGCUCUAUACCUGUGGGUUUUACAGUAAAAUGCAACCUUCCUAACAGCUGGCAUACCACCUCAGGACAUCUGAAAGUGCAAAAAGCAGACAGAUACUAUCAGAUUACAGAAAACUACUUUGAGUAGUUUUUAAUCUUAAUUUUGUAUUGACAGUGGCAUGGAAUAGUUAGGAACACCAACAACAUACCAGAAAAU